rnacentral:rRNA from 1 species
CCUACGUGAGGCUGCAGUGAGGAAUAUUGGUCAAUGGACGCGAGCCUGAACCAGCCAAGUAGCGUGAAGGAUGACUGCCCUAUGGUUUGUAAACUUCUUUUAUAAAGGAAUAAAAUGAGGCACGCGUCCCUUUUUGCAUGUACUUUAUGAAUAAGGAUCGGCUAACUCCGUGCCAGCAGCCGCGGUAAUACGGAGGAUCCGAGCGUUAUCCGGAUUUAUUGGGUUUAAAGGGCGCGUAGGUGGGAUGUUAAGUCAGUUGUGAAAGUUUGUGGCUCAACCGUAAAAUUGCAUUUGAUACUGGGCGGCUGGAGUAUGGGUGAGGCAGGCGGAAGUCGUGGGGUAGCGGUGAAAGG